rnacentral:rRNA from 1 species
GAUGAACGCUGGCGGCGUGCUUAACACAUGCAAGUCGAGCGAGAAGUUUUGAAAAGAUUCUUCGGAUGAAAUUUAAAAUGGAAAGCGGCGGACGGGUGAGUAACGCGUAGGCAACCUGCCCCAUACAAAGGGAUAGCAUUUGGAAACGAAUAUUAAUACCUUAUGAAACUUAACUAGUGCAUGCUAGGUAGGUCAAAGAUUUAUCGGUAUGGGAUGGGCCUGCGUCUGAUUAGCUAGUUGGUGAGGUAACGGCUCACCAAGGCGACGAUCAGUAGCCGACCUGAGAGGGUGAACGGCCACAUUGGAACUGAGACACGGUCCAAACUCCUACGGGAGGCAGCAGUGGGGAAUAUUGCACAAUGGGGGAAACCCUGAUGCAGCAACGCCGCGUGAACGAGGAAGGCCUUUGGGUCGUAAAGUUCUGUUCUAGGUGAUGAAAACUGACAGUAACCUAGGAGAAAGCCCCGGCUAACUCCGUG